GAAGUGCAGGAACAUUCAUACCUGGAGGCAGGAAGUGCAGGAACAUCCUCACCCAAAAAGCAGCCUUCUGCUCUGGGCUAAGCAAGUCCAUGGUCCCCAGCCAUGCAUGCUGCACGCUCUCCCUCAGUGGUUACCGGCCAUGAAGGCCCCCAAGCAGCUCACUAGCUUCCUUCCUUCCCUUCUGCCCCCCAGCUCCACACUGGUGCUUCCUAGCUUCCUUCUCAAGAGAGGGAAAUGCCAAAGGGCUUCCAGAACCGUCCACAGAGGUGGGAUUUAAUGACUGCUCAAUGUCUGGCUCCUGGGAGAGAGGAGCAGGACCCUGGUCAGGAUGCAGCUACUUCUGGGGUCCUUUGGGGAAGAAAGGGUGCAGCAAGAUCUUCUCAGUGUGCCCGGUGCCGCCUGCUGGGAAAGAAGCUUUUCACAGUGGUUCUCCAGGAAUGGACUCCAGCAGCACCGAGGACCCAGCUAGGUGUACAGUGUGGCCGUCCCCUAAGCCUCCUGCAGCAGAAACAGGCAAUUUUAGAUCCGAAGCAAAAUGGAGAAGAAGAUACAGAGAUUUCCCUUAUCGCCCACCCAUGCAUAGCUUCCUCCUCCACAAUUAACAACCCACAGCAAAUGGCACACGUGUCACCACGAGUGGCCCUACACUGACUCAUCAGUGUGACCCAAAGACCUGGUUUACAGCUGAGUUCAGGCCAGUAGGGUACCACUAUGGGCUUAUGUGUAUAACAAUGGAGGGGGCCACCACGGCCAGAUCAUGCGGGUAAUUUCGUCAUAUUAAAACCCUCUGUGCUCUGCCUGUUCAUCCUUACCUCUCCCCAGCACCUGUCAGCCUCUGAUCUUUUCACUUUCUCCAUAAGUUGCCUUUCCUAGAAUUCAUAUAAGUGGUUCAAUCCCGCAGUACGUACCUUUCCUUCCUAUAGUAAUGUAUACUCGAGUUUCCUUCAGGUCUUUGUGUGGCUUUAAACCAUGGAGUAAUGUUCCAUUGUCAGGUGUUUCUUUUUCCACAUUCCUGCUGAAAGCACCCUAAUGGUUUCCAAGUUUGGGCAAUUAUGGAUAAAGCUGCCAUCCACAUCGGUGGGCAGGUUUUGGUGUGGACAUGAAUUUUGCCUUGUUUUGGUUAACACUAAGCUGGCUGGCCCUCUUUGUGAGGAAGACACAGAACAGGAAGACUGAAGAGGUAGAAAAUAAAUUAGUGAACUGCAAGGGCUGUGGUCAGGGGUGAAUGGAGUGGCUCCUUGGUGGGCAUUGGCUUUUAAAUGGGCUGGCACACACUUAGCAGUGGUGGUGGCAGCUGCGUGACAUGGCAUGUGUGCCCGGCUCCCGAGUGGCACCCUUGGAAUGAGUGUGGUAGGCGAUUCCCUCUAUCAUCUACCUAUCACCUAUCUAUGUACAUCUAGCUGUAUUUGUUCACAAAAUACAUUUUGUGAAUAUGUUUUUGUAUGUAUAUAUUCACAAAAUGACAAUAAAUAUUUUUUAAAAUAUGAUUUAAAUUUUUAUGAGAUCAAUUUUAUUUCCUAAUCUAAUACUUCCAUCAUCUAAAAAGAACCUCUGUGUGUGUGUCUCUCUCUCUCUGUGUCUGUCUCUGUCUGUCUCUUCUCUCUCUCUCUCUCUCUCUCUCUCUCUCUCUCUCUCUCUCUCUCUCUCGUUGUAUGAGUGUGUGCGUGUGUGUAUGUGUUUCCUGAAAAAUGAAUCCAGGGGCUUCACACUCAGCUACAUGGCCAGCCUCAUUUUAUUUCUUAUUUUGAGACAAGGUCUCAAUAAGUCACGAAGUUACCAAGCCAGGUGGAACUGACCCUCCUGCCUCAGCUUCCCAGAGUGUUUGAAAUUACAGGUGUGGGCUUCCACAUUCCUCUGGUGUUUUAAGCUUUCUUUGUGGUCAGGGGAGGGAGUGUUUCUCACUUCCAUAUGUUCUUUAAGAGUUUAAUUUUGGCACAUCGGUUGGAAGAUG